GGAAGUAAAAGUCGUAACAAGGUCUCCGUUGGUGAACCAGCGGAGGGAUCAUUACCGAGUCUAAACAACUCAUCAACCCUGUGAACAUACCUAAAACGUUGCUUCGGCGGGAAUAGACGGCCCCGUAAUACGGGCCGCCCCCGCCAGAGGACCCCUAACUCUGUUUCUAUAAUGUUUUUUCUGAGUAAACAAGCAAAUAAAUUAAAACUUUCAACAACGGAUCUCUUGGCUCUGGCAUCGAUGAAGAACGCAGCGAAAUGCGAUAAGUAAUGUGAAUUGCAGAAUUCAGUGAAUCAUCGAAUCUUUGAACGCACAUUGCGCCCGCCAGUAUUCUGGCGGGCAUGCCUGUUCGAGCGUCAUUACAACCCUCAGGCCCCCGGGCCUGGCGUUGGGGAUCGGCGAGGCGCCCCCCGUGGGCACACGCCGUCCCCCAAAUACAGUGGCGGUCCCGCCGCAGCUUCCAUUGCGUAGUAGCUAACACCUCGCAACUGGAGAGCGGCGCGGCCAUGCCGUAAAACACCCAACUUCUGAAUGUUGACCUCGAAUCAGGUAGGAAUACCCGCUGAACUUAAGCAUAUCAAUAAGCGGAGGAA
rnacentral:rRNA from 1 species